rnacentral:sRNA from 1 species
UCGGUCUCAUUCUUCCGCGGUGAUCCUCUGAGUAGCCAGGUCGAGUCUUUCAAUUAUCUUAGGCUAAUGUGGAACAGCAGGUAAGCAAGUGUUAACUUUAAGUCGCUACUAUAUUCGUUGAUUGCCUUUGAUGAAUUAAAAAUGUAUAAGAGUAGUGGACAGAAGUGAUUUCUGAGAACAUUUUUAAUCUGAGGCAUUGUGAAACUACCAAAUGGAUCUAUCAUUAAAAGUUGCAGUUUUUACCUCCUUGCAUAUGAGUAAUGAGGUAAUAAUUUGCAGUUACAUUAAGUUAAUAAAUAUAUUUCUUUUCUACAGAUCCUGAGUCUCAAGUGUUAAAAAUAAACACCAGGACUCUGCUGUUGGUCUGAAUCAUCUCCAAGGGUCAUGUGCUCUGCAGUUCAACUUGAAGGUUGCCUAAAAAGGUGGAUCAAGCUGUAUGGAGAUGGCGUCAGUUGACUUGAGGUUCCCCAAGAAGAUUGAAAAUGUAUGAAGACUCCAGCUGAUAUGCAAGAUGUCUGCAUGUGGCCAAUCGUUUCAGAUUUUCUGACUUAAAAUGGAGAUGAAUGACCCGUCAUUAAAGUAGUCUUCAUGGACUCCCAUCCAGUAUCUUCAUGACUGCCAUCCUUGUACAGUGGCCAGCUCUCCAUAGUGCAAUAUGAAGAAUGUUACUUGGAGGUGUCCAAAGGGCUUCAGCCUCUGCAGUUUUGAAAAGGGAUGAAGUUGAGUUCAUCUGGUUGACUUUUUGGGUGAAGUUUCAGUUGCCCCUCCCUUUGUUCAAAGGGCCUCAUCCUCUGUAAAAGGUGCGACUUUGCCAUGUGAUUAGUCUGUCUUGUAA